rnacentral:tRNA from 1 species
GCGCCAGUAGCUCAGUGGAUAGAGCAACACCCUUCUAAGGUGAAGGCCGAAGGUUCGAUUCCUUCCUGGCGCACCA